AUUGAACGCUGGCGGCAGGCCUAACACAUGCAAGUCGAACGAGUGGCGGACGGGUGAGUAAUGUCUGGGAAACUGCCCGAUGGAGGGGGAUAAAUACUGGAAACGGUAGCUAAUACCGCAUAUCAUCGGAUGUGCCCAGAUGGGAUUAGCUAGUGGGUGGGGUAAAGGCUCACCUAGGCGACGAUCCCUAGCUGUUCUGAGAGGAUUACCAUCCACACUGGGAGUGAGAAACGGGCCAGACUCCUCCGUGAGGCAGCAGUGGGGAAUAUUCGACAAUGUGCGCAAGCCUGAUGCAGCCAUGCCGCGUGUAUGAAGAAGGCCUUCGGUUUGUAAAGUACUUUCAGCGGGGAGGCGUUACCCGCAGAAGAAGCACCGGCUAACUCCGUGCCAGCCGCCGCGGUAAUAC
rnacentral:rRNA from 1 species